rnacentral:misc_RNA from 1 species
UAAGAGGUACGUGCAUGGUAGG